GAUGAACGCUGGCGGCGUGCCUAAUACAUGCAAGUCGAGCGAACGGACGAGAAGCUUGCUUUUCUGAUGUUAGCGGCGGACGGGUGAGUAACACGUGGAUAACCUACCUAUAAGACUGGGAUAACUUCGGGAAACCGGAGCUAAUACCGGAUAAUAUUUUUAACCGCAUGGUUCAAAAUUGAAAGACGGUCUUGCUGUCACUUAUAGAUGGAUCCGCGCUGCAUUAGCUAGUUGGUAAGGUAACGGCUUACCAAGGCAACGAUGCAUAGCCGACCUGAGAGGGUGAUCGGCCACACUGGAACUGAGACACGGUCCAGACUCCUACGGGAGGCAGCAGUAGGGAAUCUUCCGCAAUGGGCGAAAGCCUGACGGAGCAACGCCGCGUGAGUGAUGAAGGUCUUCGGAUCGUAAAACUCUGUUAUUAGGGAAGAACAUAUGUGUAAGUAACUGUGCACAUAUUGACGGUACCUAAUCAGAAAGCCACGGCUAACUACGUG
rnacentral:rRNA from 1 species